rnacentral:lncRNA from 1 species
CGUCGACCCCACGCCACGCAGAGGUGAAGAUACGCAGGACGUCCUCUAAAGCAACUUCCGUGGGUGCCAGGUUGUGGGCUGGGGGCGGUGCUGACCUUGAGAGAGCGGAGGAGGCGCAGGCGCAGCACAGUUUAAACUUGAUUUUGUGAGGGGACGAACAGCGUGACAAUUAAAAGAAGAUCUGGGAAUCAAAAGCUUCCUGAGGCCUUCACCAGAAGCAGAUGCUGGUGCCGUGCUUCUACAGCCUGCAGAACUGAAGGACUUUACAGCUUCUCUUUCGCAUAUCCAAAUUGCCAGCAUCACCGCUCUUGCACUCCAAGCCAUUAUUAAGUAAAGUAAAGAACACAAACACUGUGAUACUGCUACACUUGAUCUGAUAACCAAGAAGUCUACUAAGUGACUAACAGCAGAGCAACUGGGAACCUAAUUCUGACCAAAAAGGAGGAAUUGUUUGGCUAAUUGGAAGUGACAGAAACCUUGGGAGAAAGCAACCGCAUACCAAGGAUAAUUAUAAGAAGAAGAGAAGACAUGGAGAAGAGGAGGGAGUAGUUGUGACCGUGGAGGCAGAGAAUGGAGUAAUGUGAUCAUAAAUCAAGGAAUGCUGACAGCCACUAAAGCUGGAGAAGGCCAAGGACAGAUAUUCAAUCCUCCCGUAGAAGUACAGCCCUGCUAAUGCAUUGAUUUUGGACUUCUGGCCUCAGAACUGUAAGAGAAUAAAUUUCUAUUGUUUUAAGCCUUCAGUUUGUGGUAGUUUGUUACAGAAACCCUGUAAAGUUAAUACACAGAGUUCAAAGAGAAUCCGGUAAUAUCUCUAAAAGACUCGUGUAUUAGUCAGGAUUCUCCAGAGAAGCAAAGCCAAUAGAAUGAUACAUGUUGUUAAAGCAAAUUAAAAUGGAGACCAUGCCUGAAGAAUCUCUGUGCAGAGAAACCCAGUUAGGCCUCAUAAGUUAACCUUACUUGAUUUGCAAACAUAAUCUAAAAGUUAACUGGAGCUAUUUCCGGUAAAUGAAUAUAACACAACUUAAGCUCAAUCAGUCAGAAGCAGCUUUAUAAUUAUGUAGCUAGGGACUUUCCAAGAGGAUGACCAAAG